CAAUAGCGUAUAUUUAAGUUGUUGCAGUUAAAAAGCUCGUAGUUGGAUUUCGGGUGGGACGCAGCGGUCUCGCAUUGCGUUUGUACUGCUGCAGCCCUCCUUCUUGCCGGGGGCGGCCUCUCGGACUUCACUGUCUGGGGGUCAGAAUCGGCGAUGUUACUUUGAGUAAAUUAGAGUGUUCAAAGCAAGCUUACGCUCUGAAUAUAAUAGCAUGGGAUAACACGACAGGACUCUGGCCUAUCGUGUUGGUCUAUAGGACCAGAGUAAUGAUUAAGAGGGACAGUCGUGGGCAUUCGUAUUCCGUUGUCAGAGGUGAAAUUCUUGGAUUUACGGAAGACGAACAUCUGCGAAAGCAUUUGCCAAGGAUGUUUUCAUUGA
rnacentral:rRNA from 1 species